AUUCUAAGAGACGAAACCUGGGGAAGUGUUCUCGGAUGCUCAAAAGGUUGCUGACUGAGACAGAAGUUAAACAAAUAAUGAUAUCUGAAAUAUCGUGCAAAGCAAAUCAGUUACCACCAGAGCGUGUUUUUGUGAAUGGUGAAGCUUUAUCUCAGAAAGAGCUCGUUAUACUGCUUAGCUGCCCAAACCCUCCAAAAAAGCUAAAUCCAGGAACCUAUUGGUACGAUAAAGUGUUGGGUUAUUGGGGAGAGGUAAACAUCAGAAACUGUUGCUAUUAUUUAAUUUUCUUUUCUUGUUUAUUUUGAUUCCAUUGCACCAUGAUAGAAUUAAUAUUUGAAUUCCAUUGCACCAUGAACAGGAAGGACACCGGCCUUGCCAGAUUAUAAGCCCCCAGCUGAAUGUCGGGGGUCAGAUAAUGAAAAAUGCUAGCAACGGAAAUACAAAUGUCAUGAUCAAUAAUCGGGAGAUUACUAGAAGAGAGCUCUGGAUGCUUAAGGUUAUUUCAGUGGGCAAAUUUGUGUGUUCAUUUGAAAUUCAGUGUUUCUAAAAAUAAGAUCCAUUCUAUUCUGUAUUUCUGUUAAAUGCUGCAGUUAGCAGGAGUGCAAUGUGAAGGACAACCUCACUUUUGGGUGAGCGCAGAUGGUUCCUACACGGAAGAGGGAAUGAAAAAUGAAAAGGGGCGUAUAUGGGACAAGGUAUGUCUGCAUAUGGAUGUGCAUUGGCUUUCUUAGUUAAACUAUCCCUUAAUUUCUGAUUUGUGAUUACUGUGUAUGUACUUUACAGAGUACAAUAAAACUAGUUUGUGCUUUCUUGUCUUUGCCAACCCCGCCUGAUUCUGAGAAUCCUUGUGGCAAUGAAGUGAAUGGUGUUAACCAGUGUGAGCAGCAAAGACUUAUUAAUCUUCUUCUUCUUGGUGAACACAAAUCUGGCACGAGUACCAUAUAUAAACAGGUGAGAUUGAUUGGAACCUGUAAGAAACUUUGUCUAAUACACGUGCUAUUAUUCAUAUACUAUUAAUCUGACUGGUGAAUAUUGAAUGGCUUAUAUUUAUCAUAUAAUGCAGCCAGCUUGUGUUGUCGUUUUGCUUCAUGUCUUGUCAUUUCUAGGACUUCAAGAUUUUAGAAGGAAAGAUGUUGUAGAGCAUGUUAGUUGAUUUUUAAAAUUUGUAUUAUCUGUAGUGUACUUAUUCACAAAGAUGACAUAUUAUGUUAUUUGACUACUAGCUUAAGAUUUCAUUAUUCAACAACAUUCAUCGGAGGUACAGUAAAUUGUGUAAUUGCACUUUGGUAUGAAGAGGGUUUUUAUUGUGCAUAAAAAGCUACAUACAAGAUGGUCUCAUAUCAUCACAUUGCCGCUGAUGCUUAAAAUAUAGUAGCGGAAAUCCUUUCUCCUUCUUGGUUACAUGCUGUGUUUUGUGACUUUAUGGGAAAAUUAUGCCUUUCUAGAUCAUGUUAAGUUUUUGUAUUUGUAAUAAGGCAAAGGCCAUAAGUCUUCGUUAAGGUCUUAAGACUGAAAUUUUGAUUCCAUGGUGAAAAUUGAACAUCAAGUUUUAUUCUUUCUUUGGGCUGUAAUUUAAGCCUUUUAUCAUUUUUUUUUAUUUUGUAUCCCUUUUGUUACCUUUUUCUUUUUCUCCCUUUUUAGACAUUGAUGCAAAGGCACAUGAUGACAGAAAUGUUUGUUUCAGGCCAAACUUCUGUUUAAGGUUCCUUUCUCUGAAGAAGAGCGUCAAAAUAUUAAGUUCAUGAUCCAAAGUAAUCUGUACUUCUAUAUUGGUAUUUUGCUUGAGGGCCGUGAGCGAUUUGAAGCAGAAAGAUUGUUUGGGAAGGGAAAAAGACAGGUUAUUGACGAGCCAGGCCCUUCAGGUAACAUAAAGAUUAGAUUUACUUCUCUUUUACAUUGCUUGUAUGAUUUUCUGUUUAUUGAAUGUUCCAUGAGAUCUUGUUUGGAGCAUGCAGAUGACGUAUAAAAAUGUUUGCCUUUGUUAUCUACUGUUCUGAGUUAUUUUUGGUAGAUAUUUGACAUAUGCAUAUCACUUUUUUUCUGGGAAGUCUAGCCCGUCAAAAGUCAAGUUCUUUGUUAUUAUUUUACAUGCAUGGAGAGCAUUUUUACUUUUGCUUGAUUUUUUGGACUUCUCACUUCUCAGUGCCUUUAGCGUUAAAAUUAUCAAUUGUGUUGGAUUGAAGUUCAUCACAUUGGCAAGUUGACCCUGAGGGUGGGAGGGACAACUAUGAUGUCCAGUAUUUUGUACAUUUAAUUAUUGAGAAUUUAAUAACUGUUGUCUCAUUGAAAUUUAAGUAUAUUUUAAUUCCGUACCUUCACUAUGUUCUUCUUGUGGGCACAAUUCUGGCCUGUGGUUUUGAUUUCAAUAUCUAGUAGAACAUGAAAUUUGGAGAUAAAUCAUUGCCUGCAGCCAAUUAGAACUUUCUUGUGACUAACCUGUGCCAUCAGCAGUAAACCUCAAAUUUCUUUAAAAUGUUCUUUUAACAUGUUUAACUAUUUAAAAUCAUUGGAGUAAAGAGCCUAUUGAAAUAGCAUCACAUAGCUUGUGAACAUAUUUGAUGCUUCUUGGUGGUUGCAAAUUUCAAAUUUUUUUUAAAGAAAAAUAAUCAUAUUUCUUUCUUUCCUUAUUUUCUAGUUUUUUUUAAAAAAAAUUUCAGAGUAAAAAAUAUCCAGCAUGAAGAAAUUUCAAUUUAUAAUUAGUUUAGCAAUUGGGAGGACUCUGAUUUUAUUCAGGUACAACACUAAUACAGGGCAGAUUGAUGAUAAAAUGAUGUAUUCCAUCAGUCCAAGACUGAAAGCUUUCUCUGAUUGGCUUCUCAAAGUCAUGGCAUCUGGUAAUUUGGAAGCCAUAUUCCCAGCCGCUACCCGUGAAUAUGCACCAUUUAUUGAGGAGUUGUGGAGGGAUGCAGGCUUCCAAGCCACAUACAACCGGAGAAAUGAAUUAGACAUGCUUCCCAGACAUGCCACCUAUUUCCUAGAACGGGUUAGAUCACUAUCUAUGGUCAUUGUCUGCUGAGUAUUUCAUUAUUCAUAUUUGGUUCAGCUUCAGUAUGUAUCUUUUGUUUUUGGAUCAAUAGAGUCUUGAUUGUUUAUUUCAUUUGCCUCAUGAUUGUCCAGUGAUCUUGAAUAGCAUCCUCUAUUCCAUAGACAUGUCAUAAUUGUCAAUGUACAUAUGACCUGCACCGUAAUUUAAAAAUUCCAAGUAUAUAUUUAAUAUUCUUGUAUUUUGGCUUCUUAUUAAUCAUGUGCUUUCUUAUCCCAUGUCAUUUCAGAAAGCAUAUUUCAUAAAAGAUAUUUUUUGAAACUAAAAUGAAAGGCAUUCUGAAUUCACACCAUCAGUUCUCUUCGUGUAUUGUUUCUCAAAAGCUUGAACGAGGAAAGAUGAUUGUUUUGAUUUGUACUUCACUGUUUGCUAUUUUUUUCAAUAUUAACAUUAGUUUCCCUCUCAGGCUGUUGAGAUUUCAAGGACAGGCUAUGAGCCCUCAGAUAUGGAUAUCUUGUAUGCUGAGGAAAUUACAUCAAGCAAUGGGCUUUCGUCCAUGGUAUUUUCAUUACCGGAGCAGACACAAGAAAACUCCAUAAGUGACUCUUCCAAUCAGAAUGAUCCCUUGCUCAGGUUACUGUCUAAUCUGUGCUUUAAAUUUACGUAUAAGCCAAACAUGCAUUGCACUUUGCCAGAUUUUUGCUAUUGCUGUUGCUGUCAAAUGCCAUUGUGAGAUUUAGCUACCGAAGGAAAGGACUUCAUGGGUAGUAAUUCUGGCUUGCAGAUUGAAUUUCGGGUAGCUUAACUCAGUUUGAAUGGGGAUAUUGUCAUCAAUGAAUUGAGUCUGCAAUUCUGUUGGAACUGGAAGUUAUUAGCUAAGUUAGUGGUCCCACUUGGCUUGGCAAGACACAGAAAGAAUAAUCAGUUAAUUGCCUUUCAACUUCAAGAAUACUUUAAAUUUACCAGCAUUUCAUACUUGAGUUUUAGCUAUUGAUUUAUUUCUCUUCUUUGGCAUGAAAUGUUUUAGCAAUCAAAUAUGAAUAAUCUUUUACAGCUGUGAUGGAUCUUUGGCAUAAGUUUCUUGAAAGUGGGGAACGAUGUAUGAUUGAUUAUAAAUUGUUCAUCUAACUUACCAAUUUUUGCUUUGCACUUGCAGCUAUCAACUCAUUAGAGUGCAUCCAAGAAGCCUCGGGGAGAACUGCAAGUGGCUAGAAAUGUUUGAAGAUGUUGAUAUGAUCCUCUUUUGUGUUUCUUUGACUGACUACGAUGAAUAUUUUGAAGAUAGCAAAGGAUUUCUCACCAACAAGAUGUUGGCAAGCAGGCAGCUCUUCCAAAACAUUGUCAUUCAUCCAACCUUCAAUCAAAAGAACUUCCUUCUGAUACUCAACAAGUAUGAUAUGUUAGAGGAAAAGAUUGAAGAAGUUCCUCUCUCUCGAUGUGAAUGGUUUGAAGACUUCAAUCCGGUGAUCAGCCAUAAUCACCAUAGCACUAGUAGAAGAACUAGCAACACACCACUGGCUGUAUCUGCCGCCCACUACAUUGCAGUGAAGUUCAAGAGGUUGUUCGAUUCUCUAACUGGUCGUAAGUUGUUUGUUUCAGUAGUUACUGCCUUGGAGCCUGAGACUGUAGAUGAAGCUCUCAAUUAUGCAAAGGAGAUUCUGAAGUGGGAGGAAGAGGAACCUGUCUACACUAACAUUGAGUCAACUGAUUACGAGGCAAGCUCAUCAUCAUGAAUUUUCUUCUCGGGUUGAAUUUUGCUCAUCCAUCCUCAGUUAUACAAAACAUUGGAAAGGAUUUUUUUUUUUUUCCAAAGAUAGAAGAACAUCAGAAGAAAAUACAUUGGGUCAAGCACAUGCUUGUGUAUACUAAUCCAGAUUUGCAUAGAAGUUAGGGAGAUUAAGAUUCUUUCCUAGAGCUGUAAAGAACUGUCGUUUUGCCAUUUCAAUUAAGAUUUAGUAAAUAAAAGAAGAAUAAUUACUUUGCACAAUGAGACACAUAGCUGACAAGCUUGCAUAAAUACAAACGGACAUGGAAUUCAUUUUCGUUGCCUGAAUUUAACUGACGGAUUACAUAUCUUGUCUACAAACAAACAUGAAAAAAAAAGACCAUUUUAACUACAUAAGGCUUCACAGAAAGAUUGAAUACACAUCAACAAGGCACAAACCGGUCCAUAAGCAAACAGAUAGUAGUCUCUGAUAUUGUACUUUCAUCUUCAACCUCUUUGGUGCUCUCCUUUUUAUCUUCUUUCCCACGUACUUGUUCUUUCUUAGCUCUUAACACAAACGGCUUCCUGCCUUUAACCUUCUCUCCCAGCUUCGCAAGCUCACCCAUGCAUAUCUCCACAACUGCCGACAUUUUCACUGCGAUAACCAAGAACCCACUUGGAAUUUUCAGCUGGCUCUUUCUUUCUUGUUGAUCUUUCUUUAUUGAAUAUGAAACGAGAAGCAACGUGGGGUUUAUAAAGAAGAGAAGGCGAGCAAAAGUCCACGUAGAAUUUGGCGGGUUCUGGAGAACCGCUGGUUUUGACUGUUGGGGAGAAAAAUCAAUGUGUGGAUGCCCACAGAGAUGCCGUUUUGAGAACCUUCUGUUCCAUUUAUCUUUCUUUGGAUUGGAUAUUCCCGCGUUUGCAAGAAAAUAUCCUUUUGCGUGACAGUUCUAAUGUGUGACUACUCACACAUUAAUUAUCAAUGCUCAAUUUCAAAACUAACCUCUAGUUCUUAACUUGGAGUAUUUGAUCAAACGGUGAGCUACUAAUAUCUUACAUUGUUUUAUUAAUUUAGAGUUACAUCUUAAAACAUUUUAUUAGCACAGACUGACAGACACGUAACAAUUUUAUAUUACUAUAUAAAAUCUAAUAAAAUUAGACUCAUUAAUAUAAUAUUUGAUUAUAUAAUAAAAGAGUCUAUAAAAAUUUAUUCUGAUCAAAUAAAUAAAUAAUAAUUAGAGUGAUUUAUCCCGUGAUAUGGUUUUAAACCGCACCAAUUUUUUUUUUAAAAACUUAAAAAGAUCUUUUUAGGGUAGAGUUGUAUAGCAAGAUGCUAAUUUUAUUUUUAAAUUUAUAUUUUAUCAAUUAAAUUAGAGGUUUUUAGGAAAUAAAAUUUAAAAAGGGUAUUGUAAGGAUUUUAGAGGGGUGUUAGAAGCCCCACUCUUUUGUACUAGUGCUACGGACAUAUGGUUACAAUUGAUAUUGGCCUAUGGGUAAAGCCCUGUAUUUUAUGUUAUCCACUAUAAUUCUAGGUGAACUUAUUGAGGCUAAUCUUGAAUUAGGGGUGGACAAAUACUUCAAUCCAAUUGAAUCUGAAUCGCAAUGCAGCGAUGCACAUACAAGCACAAAGUUUUGAUCCAAUCCAAUUUAUAUUCGGAUUUAAUCGGAUUGUAUUAUAAGUUUGGGUUGAGUUCAGAUUACUUUUUUUUUUCCAAUUUGUUUAAUCCAAAAUCCGAUCGCGUUAAUUCGAACCUGAAUUUUCCUACCCCUACAACUAUCAUUAGAGGAUAUAAUUAAAAAGAAAUGAGUUAUACGAUUAUUUGCAAUAAUUCAUGUCUAAAGCUAUGAAGCAAAUACCCAAACAUCAUCAGCAAAUAAUUAAUGUCUUAUUUAUAAGUUUGAAAACGAAAUAACCCCAUCGAUAGCGCUUCCACAUUGUAAAUCGCACUUAUUCCAUUACAAACAAACAAUUAAGUACCAUACCAUAACCUAAAUUUCUAUCUUAAAAAUGGUUCCUUAUCUAAAUAUAAUAAUUAGUCAUUGAAAAAUCCAUAAAAUUUAAUAUACAAUCACCGACCUUAUGAUUGAUGUAAAAUGCAUUUUUUUUUCAAUUUUAUUUUGUCAUACACCCACCACUUGUUUUCUAUAUUAACAUAAAUUCCAAUUUUUUCAUUUAUUAAUAUUUUAAUGCGAUCACAAUACUCGUUCCAAGAUGUAUUAUAUAGGAUUAAUAUUAUGACAUAGUCUCAAGUCUGACCUAUCUCAACUUAGGUAGUUGAACGUACUUGACCAAAUUACCCUUUCUUAGCGCCAAAAUUCAGUUAGGUACAAUCAAUCGCAGCAGCAAGUACUUUGAAAUUUUGAAACGAAGCACACAUGUUUCGUUCUGGCGUGACUGAUCAGUUCCUCGCAGCUUCCUCUUCAACCUCAAAGCGUUGACGAAGGAAAAAUGAAAAGAGUCUUCACUGGUGAGAGCACAACUCUACAGGAAAGAAUUCACAUUUUCUUUGUUCUUUAUUAUUUCUUUCAACUGUCACUUUGCCUUCAUGAUUUUCAUUUUCUUCAUUCUCUUCGUGGCAGCCUCCCUUUUCUCCAAUUCCUAAUAAACGCCAAAAAUGCUUCGUUUAGUUCUCUUAUUGAUUGAUUUUGCUUUCUGGGUUUGUGAGAUAUGUUGAUUUUGCUUCAUGGGUUGUUUUUUCAAUUAGUUAUAUUUUGUGGGUUUUUGAAAUAUUUGGUCAUGCUUCAUCUGUGUAUUUGAUGAUCAUUUCGUUUUGCUUCAUGCUUCUUAAAUCAUUGAAAUGAUUGAUUAAGUUUCUUGUAUGCUUUGAUGGAUUGUUGAAGUAAUUGAUUUUGCUCCGUGGGUAUGUUGAACUAUUGGCUUUUAUUUAUUGGGGGUUUUUUAAUUAGUGUUUUAAUUGGUUUAUUGGUUUAUUGAAAUAGGGUUACUGGUUUUGAGUUGAUUUUGAGUAGGGUUUACAAAAUGGCUCAGCUUUUGAGGAAAAUUCUGCCUGUUGUGCCAUUGAGAUCAAAACCUUAUGAUGAUGAUGAGGAUGAUAAAAAUAACACUGAAUAUUCAUUUGCCGUUGAGUAUUCUGGCCCUCUGAUCAGUUCUGAUAUUCCCCUGGCAUCGCCAAUAGUUGUUGACCAAAUCCCCAUUGCUGUUACGGUUGCCUCUCCUUCCUUGUUAAGAGAUAGGUCGUUGCCAGUAAUCCAACCAACUGUAAAAAGUACUCCAGGAGGCAGAAGACGGUUGAAGGAGCCUGAAUUAAGUUCUGAACCUACAUUACGUAGUAAUUCAUUGACCAAUUCCGGAGCGUCCUUGACUGGUCCUAAUGUGUCCUGUGAAUCACAAAGUUUGGUAGAUAGCUCAGGUGAUGUUGGAUGUGCAACUGGUGAUUACUCCCAGCCCAAGUCAGUUAAUGGAGUUAGAAGUUCCAGUAAAUUCAGAAGUCCUGAUGCUCAAGAUAAUUCAUCUGACGUAAUAAGAAGUUCUGCUAAACUGAAUAGUCUUGAUCGUCAUGAUAAUUUGUGUGUAAUUCUAAAAUUAUCUGAUGGUAGUGAAGAAGGUGCAGAUGCAGGCCUGCAAAAUGGUAUAAAUCCUGCCAAUUUGGAUUUAACAGAUUCUGGUUUAAGUUCACAUGAACAUACAUCAAAGUUUUUUUCUUGCAAUGAGGGAUAUUUUGGUGAUGAAGAAACUCCUUCCAAUGUUAGAGGAUCAUCAGUUGUUAUUUCUGAUGAUCCUGAGACAAGUGAUAUAGUCCAUGAAGAAUCUGAUAACUCUGAAAGCGUCCAUCUGAGAGCAAAGGCUGAAAGAUAUGGGAAGAAAAGUUCAUGCUGUCAAUGCUUGCAGGAAUAUCAAUCUCUUGAAAUGGAGGUUUGCAUAGUUUGUGAUACAAUGUAUUGUUGUAACUGUGUGGUGAGAGCAAUGGGGUCAACACCUGAAGGAAGAAAAUGUGUUUCCUGUGUUGAUUCCAGGUUAGAUGUGUGCAUGCCCAUGUCAUCUAAUGGAAUAGGAAGUUCUGGUAAAUCAAAUAGCCUCAACUGUUACGAUAAUAUGCCUGCAAACAAUGAAUUGCCCGAUAAUAGGAACGAUGGCGCUAAUGCAGGAUUUCAUGAUUAUAUGAAUCCUGCUGACUCAGAGUCAACGGAGUCAGAUGUAAGUUCAUACAGUGUUUCAUCUGAGGUGUUUUCUUGCAAAGAGGAGGGUUUUAAUAACGAAGAAACUCCUGGCCAUGUUAGAAGACCAUCAGUCGUUAGUUUCCGUGACCCUGACCCAAGUGAUACAGUUUAUGAAGAAUCUGAUUAUUCUGAGGUUGAAAGCAUCCAUGAGAGGCCAAAGGCUGUAAGGCCAGGGAAGAAAGGUUCGUGCUAUCGAUGCUUGAAAGGAAAUCGGUUCACUGAGAAGGAUUUCUGUAUUGUUUGUGGUGCAAAAUAUUGUUCAAACUGUGUGCUGAGGGCAAUGGGAUCAAUGCCAGAAGGAAGAAAAUGUGUUACUUGCAUUGGUUUCAGCGUGGAUGAUUCUAAGAGACGAAACCUGGGGAAGUGUUCUCAGAUGCUCAAAAGAUUGCUGACUGAGACGGAAGUUAAACAAAUAAUGAGAUCUGAAAUAUUGUGCAAAGCAAAUCAGUUGCCACCAGAGCGUGUUUUUGUGAAUGGUGAACAUUUAUCUCAGAAAGAGCUCGUUAUACUGCUUAGCUGCCCAAACCCUCCAAAAAAGCUAAAUCCAGGAACCUAUUGGUAUGAUAAAGUGU
rnacentral:lncRNA from 1 species